rnacentral:rRNA from 1 species
UACGAGGGGUGCAAGCGUUGCUCGGAAUUAUUGGGCGUAAAGGGUAGGUAGGUGGUCUGAUUUGUCAGGGGUGAAAGCCUUGGGCUUAACCCAAGAAGUGCCCCUGAAACGGUCAGACUGGAGUCUUGGAGAGGGUCGUGGAAUUCCCGGUGUAGCGGUGAAAUGCGUAGAGAUCGGGAGGAACACCAGAGGCGAAGGCGGCGACCUGGACAUGCACUGACACUCAACUACGAAAGCGUGGGGAGCAAACAGG